rnacentral:sRNA from 1 species
CCGUACCUGGCGGUGAAAAUCACCCCUGCCAUCCCUGCAGUCGCUGGCAUCCUGUUCUUCUUUGUGAUGGGGACCCUGCUCCGCACCAGCUUUAGCGACCCCGGAGUCCUCCCACGAGCCACGCCUGAUGAAGCUGCCGAUCUGGAAAGGCAAAUAGAUAUCGCAAACGGCACCAGUUCAGGGGGGUACCGCCCGCCUCCCAGAACCAAAGAAGUCAUCAUCAAUGGCCAGACCGUGAAACUUAAAUACUGUUUCACCUGCAAGAUUUUCCGGCCCCCUCGCGCCUCCCAUUGCAGCCUUUGUGAUAACUGCGUAGAACGGUUUGAUCACCACUGUCCCUGGGUAGGCAACUGUGUGGGGAAAAGAAACUACAGAUUUUUUUAUAUGUUUAUUUUAUCUCUGUCUUUUCUGACAGUCUUUAUAUUUGCAUUCGUUAUCACCCACGUCAUUCUUCGUAAGUAUGCUGGCGAAAUCAGAUUACGUAUGUAACCAUUUGCCUGACUUUGAUUUUCCUAUUUGAUUUUGAUUUAAUAUUUUGGUCAUUUCGGGCUUUCUCUUUCCCUUUCUUUCU